UGGCCUUUUUAUUGGCUUAUAGUAAAAUUACACAUGCAAGUAUCCUCGCCCCAGUGAGAAUGCCCUCCAUCUCAAAACAUUUGAUCAAAAGGAGCAGGAAUAAAGUUCACUAUCUCAGUAGCUCAUAACGCCUUGCUAAACCACACCCCCACGGGACACAGCAGUGAUCAAAAUUAAGCUUAUAAACGAAAGUUUGACUAAGUUAUACUAUAAAUUUUGGGUUGGUAAAUUUCGUGCCAGCCACCGCGGUCAUACGAUUAACCCCAGUCAAUAAAACACGGCGUAAAGCGUGGUUAAAACUAACAAUCAAUAAGACUGAGCUUGGACUAAGCUGUAAAAAGCCUUAGUCACAAUAAAAAUAUUCCACGUAAGUAGUCUUAGAAUUUAUGAACCCACGAUAGCUAAGACCCAAACUGGGAUUAGAUACCCCACUAUGCUUAGCCCUAAACAUAAAUACUUCACUAACAAAAUUAUUCGCCAGAGUACUACUAGCAACUGCUAAAAACUCAAAGGACUUGGCGGUGCUUUAUAUCCCUCUAGAGGAGCCUGUUCUAUAAUCGAUAAACCCCGAUAAACCUUACCACCCUUUGCCCUAUCAGCCUAUAUACCGCCAUCUUCAGCAAACCCUAAUAAGGCCUUAUAGUAAGCACAAGUAUUCCACAUAAAAACGUUAGGUCAAGGUGUAGCCUAUAGGGUGGAAAGAAAUGGGCUACAUUUUCUAAAUAUAAUAUAGAAUAACAUUUUACGGUAACUUAUAUGAAAGUAUAUAAGUCCAAGGUGGAUUUAGUAGUAAGCUAAGAAUAGAGAGCUUAGCUGAAUUGGGCAAUAAAGCACGCACA
rnacentral:ncRNA from 1 species